rnacentral:rRNA from 1 species
UUCCGGUUGAUCCCGCCGGACCUGACUGCUAUCGGAUUGAUACUAAGCCAUGCGAGUCAUUGUAGCAAUACAAGGCAGACGGCUCAGUAACGCGUAGUCAACCUAACCUAUGAACGGGAAUAACCUCGGGAAACUGAGAAUAAUGCCCGAUAGAACACUAUGCCUGGAAUGGUUUGUGUUCCAAAUGAUUUAUCGCCGUAGGAUGGGACUGCGGCCUAUCAGUUUGUUGGUGAGGUAAUGGCCCACCAAGACUAUUACAGGUACGGGCUCUGAGAGGAGUAGCCCGGAGAUGGGUACUGAGACACGGACCCAGGCCCUAUGGGGCGCAGCAGGCGAGAAAACUUUGCAAUGUGCGAAAGCACGACAAGGUUAAUCCGAGUGGUUUCUGCUAAAGGAACCUUUUGUCGGUCCUAGAAACACCGAUGAAUAAGGGGUGGGCAAGUUCUGGUGUCAGCCGCCGCGGUAAAACCAGCACCUCAAGUGGUCAGGAUGAUUAUUGGGCCUAAAGCAUCCGUAGCCUGCUUUGUUAGUUUUCGGUUAAAUCUAUGCGCUCAACGUAUAGGCUGCCGGGAAUACUGCAAAGCUAGGGAGUGGGAGAGGUAGACGGUACUCGGUAGGAAGGGGUAAAAUCCUUUGAUCUAUUGAUGACCACCUGUGGCGAAGGCGGUCUACCAGAACACGUCCGACGGUGAGGGAUGAAAGCUGGGGGAGCAAACCGGAUUAGAUACCCGGGUAGUCCCAGCCGUAAACCAUGCAAACUCAGUGAUGCAUUGGCUUGUGGCCAAUGCAGUGCUGCAGGGAAGCCGUUAAGUUUGCCGCCUGGGAGGUACGUACGCAAGUAUGAAACUUAAAGGAAUUGGCGGGGGAGCACCACAAGGGGUGAAGCCUGCGGUUCAAUUGGAGUCAACGCCGGG